GAUGAAGAACGCAGCGAAAUGCGAUAAGUAAUGUGAAUUGCAGAAUUCAGUGAAUCAUCGAAUCUUUGAACGCACAUUGCGCCCGCCAGUAUUCUGGCGGGCAUGCCUGUUCGAGCGUCAUUUCAACCAUCAAGCCCCCGGCUUGUGUUGGGGACCUGCGGCUGCCGCAGGCCCUGAAAACCAGUGGCGGGCUCGCUAGUCACUCCGAGCGUAGUAAUACAUCUCGCUCAGGGCGUGCUGCGGGUUCCGGCCGUUAAAAAGCCUUAUUUACCCAAGGUUGACCUCGGAUCAGGUAGGAAGACCCGCUGAACUUAAGCAUAUCAAAGCGGAGGA
rnacentral:misc_RNA from 1 species